UUCCGGUUGAUCCUGCCGGACCCGACCGCUAUCGGGGUAGGGCUAAGCCAUGCGAGUCGCGCGCCCGGGGGCGCCCGGGAGCGGCGCACGGCUCAGUAACACGUGCCCAACCUACCCUCGGGAGGGGGACACCCCCGGGAAACUGGGGCCAAUCCCCCAUAGGGGAAGGGCGCUGGAAGGCCCCCUCCCCGAAAGGACGGUGGCCGAUCCGCCGCCGCCCGCCCGAGGAUGGGGGCACGGCCCAUCAGGUAGUUGGCGGGCUAAAGGCCCGCCAAGCCGAAGACGGGUAGGGGCGGUGAGAGCCGCGAGCCCCGAGAUCGGCACUGAGACAAGGGCCGAGGCCCUACGGGGUGCAGCAGGCGCGAAUACUCCGCAAUGCGGGCAACCGCGACGGGGCUACCCCGAGUGCCGGGCGAAGAGCCCGGCUUUUGCCCGGUCUAAAACGCCGGGAGAAUAAGCGGGGGGCAAAGUCUGGUGUCAGCCGCCGCGGUAAUACCAGCUCCGCGAGUGGUCGGGGUGUUUACUGGGCUUAAAGCCGCCCGUAGCCCGGCCCGGCAAGU
rnacentral:rRNA from 1 species